UACGUAGGGUGCGAGCGUUGUCCGGAAUUAUUGGGCGUAAAGGGCUCGUAGGCGGUUUGUCACGUCGGGAGUGAAAUCUCAGGGCUUAACCCUGAGCCUGCUUCCGAUACGGGCAGACUAGAGGUAUGCAGGGGAGAACGGAAUUCCUGGUGUAGCGGUGAAAUGCGCAGAUAUCAGGAGGAACACCGGUGGCGAAGGCGGUUCUCUGGGCAUUACCUGACGCUGAGGAGCGAAAGUGUGGGGAGCGAACAGGAUUAGAUACCCUGGUAGUCCACACCGUAAACGGUGGGCGCUAGGUGUGGGACUCAUUCCACGAGUUCCGUGCCGCAGCUAACGCAUUAAGCGCCCCGCCUGGGGAGUACGGCCGCAAGGCUAAA
rnacentral:rRNA from 1 species